rnacentral:lncRNA from 1 species
UGUGGGUCGAUCUAUACCGCAAAUUGAUGAUCGUGGAUGUCUUCUGAAGGUUCCUGAAAUCGCAUGUGUCCGACCUCUACGGAUAUCCACACAAGACUUUGAUCUGAUCAAAAGCUUCUUGAUCUCAUCAGAGUGUUAGUUCUUUUGUAGAGAUCGUAUCUUGAUGGUUGAAAAAUCUUCUUUUCUCUCAACACACUCUUAGAGAAGA